rnacentral:rRNA from 1 species
AUUGAACGCUGGCGGCAUGCUUUACACACGCAAGUCGAACGGCAGCGCGGGCUUCGGCCUGGCGGCGAGUGGCGAACGGGUGAGUAAUGCAUCGGAACGUGCCCAGUAGUGGGGGAUAGCCCGGCGAAAGCCGGAUUAAUACCGCAUACGACCUGAGGGUGAAAGCGGGGGACCGAAAGGCCUCGCGCUAUUGGAGCGGCCGAUGUCGGAUUAGCUAGUUGGUGGGGUAAAGGCUUACCAAGGCGACGAUCCGUAGCUGGUCUGAGAGGACGACCAGCCACACUGGGACUGAGACACGGCCCAGACUCCUACGGGAGGCAGCAGUGGGGAAUGUUGGACAAUGGGGGCAACCCUGAUCCAGCCAUGCCGCGUGCGGGAAGAAGGCCUUCGGGUUGUAAACCGCUUUUGUUCGGGAAGAAAUCCUCUGGGCUAAUACCCCGGGGGGAUGACGGUACCGGAAGAAUAAGCACCGGCUAACUACGUG